GAUGAACGCUGGCGGCGUGCCUAAUACAUGCAAGUCGAACGCUUUGUCUUUAAUUGAUAUGAAGAGCUUGCUCUGAUUUGAUUUUAUCUGACAAAGAGUGGCGAACGGGUGAGUAACACGUGGGUAACCUACCUCUUAGCAGGGGAUAACAUUUGGAAACAAGUGCUAAUACCGUAUAACACUAACAACCGCAUGGUUGUUAGUUGAACGAUGGUUCUGCUAUCACUAAGAGAUGGACCCGCGGUGCAUUAGCUAGUUGGUAAGGUAAUGGCUUACCAAGGGGAUGAUGCGUAGCCGAGUUGAGAGACUGAUCGGCCACAAUGGGACUGAGACACGGCCCAUACUCCUACGGGAGGCAGCAGUAGGGAAUCUUCCACAAUGGGCGCAAGCCUGAUGGAGCAACGCCGCGUGUGUGAUGAAGGGUUUCGGCUCGUAAAACACUGUUAUAAGAGAAGAACGACAUUGAGAGUAACUGUUCAGUGUGUGACGGUAUCUUAUCAGAAAGGAACGGCUAAAUACGUG
rnacentral:rRNA from 1 species